rnacentral:lncRNA from 1 species
GAACAUGUAUUUACUAUUAAAAAUGUUCAGUAAGUUUUUUUUGUUUGAAAGAUUACUUAUUGUAAUUCCAAAAUUGGGACACAAAAUUUGUAGCUCACUACUUAAAUUCAAGUUAGAGUUUAACUGACUUAACGUAUUUUUAUUUUAUGUAAAUGUUGCAUUGAGAGAUAGGACUGUAUUAAAUAGAAAAUUGGUACUCAGAUGGAGAUUUAUUAUCAUAAUGAAGAAUAAGUUUUAAUUCGAGUUUUACUAUUAUUAGUAAGCAAAAUGUAAUAGGUCUCACAUCAAUAUGAAAACUUUAUUUCUACUUGGAUAUUGUUGUCUUGUAUAAAGGUUACACAUUUAUCAGUUUCAAUAAUUUACACUUAUUCUGUAUAUUGUGUAUCAAAGAUUCCUAUGUGGGAACACAUUGUAGUUAAUGAUAUAUGUGAACGGUAUAUUAUAGAAUUCUCAUAAUUUAUCUUGUAUGUAGUUACCCAAUAGUGUCUCUGUUCAUAAUUUAGCUUUCUAUCUUUAUUUCUAAUACAUAUGUAUAAAAACAUGUUAGCUUUAGGUUACUAUUCGAGCUUGUAUGUAUUCAAUUUGUACUCUUAAGAACCUAGAAUUAACAUUUACACAUUGAAAAGUAAUAUGAUAAUAUGUAUUUAGAAUGUAAAAUAAUAUAUGUAUAUAUUCAUUGAAAUACGCAGUUGUCUUGUUUUUAAUGGGUGAUAAAAUGUCUUCCUGUCUUAAUCAGUAUUAAAUAGCCAUUAGGUAAAAGUAACUUUCACCAGAAACAUGAUAUGAUUAACACCAAUCAGUUUCUAAUUAAUAUUUUACAGCUCCUGUUAAUUCAGAAUUUCCUGUAUAUCUUUAUAAUGCUUUCCAAAGGAAGUAUUUCAUUCUUCUUUUUCUUUUUUGUGAAAAGAAUACUAUUUCUAAAUAUUAGAUUAGUCAAAAAGUUAUAUAGUUUUUGUCAAGCAUGAUUAAAUUAACAUCCUGAUCAAUAAUAAUUUUUAUACAUUGAAAAAAUAAUUAAUAUGUUGUUUAACAUAAUUUUAAUUACAUAUGUAAGAGAUGUAUAAUCAAAUAUUCGUAAAAACGUAACUUCUUCGCCAAUUUAUAGAUAACCCCUCUAUAAGAAAUGUUGGAAAUUUGGGAAUAAGGGUUAUGGGUUUGACUAUGUUAUUAGAAUAAAUCAUUUUGGAUGCGUGUUUUACUAACGUGGCAUUAACGUGGAAAUCGUUGUUAAUUAUUUAGUCGUAAAUGACAAGAAAGUAUUAAACACAGGUUGAUGUCCAUUACGAUACUAUUAAUUGUACCUGAUUGGUGGUCAGAAAGCUAAUGUUGUAGUUACGGAUCCUGCCCCUUAAUUGUCCAUCAGAGGAUUCAUUUUAACCGAACAAUGUGUUCUUUCGACACGACGUUAUCUCUGUUUCAACAGAAUGGAUACGGUGCUCUCUAAUAUUAUCGAUGGUUCUUUUUUAUUUCUUUUUGGCCGAUGGAGAUAUGGUACAUUAAACCCUUUGAUCAAACUUAAUGACUAAACCGUUUUUGCGAAAAAGCAUGCUUGUGCAAACGUUUCUUACGAAACUUACGAACCAUUAUAGGAAUGAUUCAUUUGUUUUCGUUGAAAUAAUUUUCAUGAUUUUUACUGCUCCAAAAUGAAAGAGACUGCUACCACUUUAUGAUUGAAAAGUAACUAAAAAUUACAGGGGAUUACUUUCAAUUUCCUCAAAUUAUGAAAUUUAAAAGUUGGUAAAUUCAGAAAUUCAGAAAUAUGGAAACAGAGACUAAGAAUAGAAAAUGACCAGAUUUUAAUAAUGGAACUAACCAGUAAGUGGAAGUAUGACGUAAUAUAUUGCAUUCUAAAGUCACGGCUAUCGUAACAAUGAUUACCAAGCGUCCUUGUUAAGAGGAAAAAAAUGGAACGCAAGAUUUAUUCAUUCCUGUGCGUUACUUUUGACAUUGAAGCACGGAAGAACGUUUAUCCCGUGGGAAAGUCCGACUUGUCAUUCAUAGAAUUCCAUGAAAAGUCACUUCAGUGUAUCUGCGUAUGCUUUUUUCUCGUCGAACGAAUAUACAAGGCGUGUCUGGACGAAGAGAAAUCUUCUGUUGCAACAUUCGCAACAUUAAAAUAUUUAAAUUUCUGUCUCCAUUUUGUCUGCGUCGUUGCAUUUCAUUUUCAUUUUAUUCAGUCGUAGUUGGACGUGAAACGACGAGUGCGUUGGAACAGUAGUAAAUGCAUUAUUGAAAAAGAGUUUUGUCUGCGGUGAAAAGAGUAAUGUGAGAGAAGGUAAACCGGAAGAGGAUUGGCACCAUUUUAGCUGGACAGUUAGUGCAAUUGAAUCGCGGUAAAGUGGGUUCUUACAACGCAUUUGUACACAGAAGCAAUCUUAACAAAUCAGUUACCUUUCAUCGAUUCGACGAUAAAUUACUUGAAUACAAACGCGGGGUACACCUACGUGAACAAGAACAUUCUAAACUAUUCUUCAGAACAUUUUUAUUUUAUAAUAAAUAAAGAAACAAGA